GGUGGAUUGGCGUAGUGGCAACGCGUCAGUUUCCGGUUUUAAGUCCCUAGCUGAAGUACGUGGGUUCGAUCCCCACAUCCAUCG